rnacentral:rRNA from 1 species
UUUAAGCAUAUCACUCAGUGGAGGAAACGCAAGCAACUGCGAUUGCUUCAGUAACGGCGAGUGAAUUGGCAACAGAUGUCUCAGCCCGAAGUGAAACCCCUGCAUCAUGAGAUGCGGCGGCUCAGAUGGGCAUCAUGCUGUGGGCUGUGGAGCAGAUGGCUAUGUCUUGGCUGGUCAUGCAUCAGGGAAGCGGCCUGGAAGGGCCCACAAGAGAGGGAGACUGUCUCAUACGAUCUGUGCAUGCUGACCAGUCGGAUGUGGCUGUUUGUAUCCAGGAGUAGAGUGGCUUGGGACUGCAGUUUGAAGCGCGAGGUGUAUCCCUCGCAAGGAAGAACACCGGCAUGGGACCGAUAGUGCACAAGUAGAGUGAUUGAAGGAUGCAAAGUACUCUGCGGAGAGAGUUAAAAGUGCCUGAAGCCUCAGCAGGAACGGCGGAGAGUGAUGCUGUGAAGUGAAUGGACCCUUGGCCAACUGAGCCUCGCAGUGAGCCAGGUCCAAAGAAACCAAGCAACCUUGGGCCAGCCCAGAGCUGGCUUCUGAGCUCCAUCCCAAAGGUUGGAACGCAGUCGAAGCAGCUUAUGGUGGCAACAAGCUUGCCAGGGCCUGAAGGUUCACAGAGAUCAUCUUGUGGGAAUGGCCGUCAUGGAAGGGCACAGCAAAAGCCCCAGUCGGGGUGUGCCAGCCUGUCUCCAAACAGGCCCAUGCGAGCCAAGAAGAGUGCUUGAGUGCUUUGACCCUGGCGUGUCUCCGGACAUGCCAGUGGCUGUGCAUAUGGCUUGGGUGAACAAGGCCGAUCGUGGUGGCUGCAUCACCUUGGUGGUGGCCCUGCGUGAAAGCCAGUUCCUCAGAUGGUGCAUGGACAGAAAGCAGCUGAGCUUGGUACAGCAGUGCCACUCUCUGCCCGUCUUGAAACACGGACCAAGGAGUCUAUGGAGCUUGCAGGUUUGCAGAUGUAUCAAUAAACCACAAGGCGUGGUGAAGGCAAACGAUCCCAGAUGGUGCAUUCGUUGACUCAGCCUGAGCAAGGCAUGUGGGAAUGUCUGUGCCCAUUGCCCAGGCUGCUGUCAGAGAGAUUGAUGCUGCAUGGGACACCAGGCCCGAGUCCAGUGGACUGGGUUCGGAGUGAAUGCAAGGUCCAUGGGACCCGAAAGGUGGUGAACUAUACCGUUCUAUGACGAAGCCGUGGGAAACUGCGGUGGAGGUCAGUCGCUGUUCUGACGUGCAAAUUGUGUAGCCUGAGUGCGGCAUAGGGGUGAAAGGCCAAUCGAGCCACCUAGUAGCUGGUUUCCCUCGAAGUUUCCCUCAGGAUAGCUGGGCUCAGAUGCAGUCCCAAAGUGAUUACGUCCGGUAAAGCAACGCAUGAGAGGCAACUCCGGGAAGGCUUCCCUUCUCGACCUAUUCUCGAACUGUGAAUGGGCGUGGCGCCCAAAGGCAUGCUUCUUCACUGUGCCGGAGGCUGUGUCAAAGCAGUUCUCCUCGGCUGCUGAGCGUGUUUGAGAUUUGGCAACCCCCGAGGGAGUGCUCUUCCAGCAAGGCCUCCUGAGGGAUCAAAGUAAUGGCCUCGGCCAUGGGCGGAAGGUUUCCAAUGAUGUUGAACAGCAGAGCCUAUGUGGACCAGGAUUGGUAAGCAGUGCUGGUGAUGCGGGAUGCUCCGAGAGUGAGCUUACAGAUCCGGAGUGCUGGCUCAUACCCAGAUCCCACAAAGGAUGUUGCCUGCUAGAGAUAGCAGGACGGUGGCCAUGAAGGUUGGAACCCGCUAAGGAAUGUGUAACAACUCACCUGCCGAAGCGUGCAGCUCCGAAAAUGGAUGGUGCCCAAGUCAGCGAAGCUGAAUUCGUCUCACAGUUCACUGCUGCUGUGGCAGCAAAGCAGAGCAUCAGCAUGUAGAAGGACAUGGAAGAUCACAGAGCAAGUGGGGUUUGAACCUCACUGGAGUAUCUUCUGGCGCAGAUCUUGGUUGUAGUAGCGAAUACUCCAUCGAGUGAAGAGCGGAACAACCCCGCUAUGUGCGGUUGAGGACAGGAGUGGAGCAGGUUUCCGCACCAAACAGCCGUUGAAUGCGGGUCAGCCGACCGUGAGCCAAGUGGUAAAUUCACUGAACAACCAAAGCUGCCAUUGCCCUGGGCAAUCGAGGCACUGCACCCAGGUGAUCCCCGCGAGGACACCAGGCAAAGGGGCAAGUGACCAAGACCCUGGGGAUUGAGCAGGAGUGGCAAACAGGCAAGCAUAAUGAACAUUCUGCUGCGAUGGGACUGGAGUACUCAAUGGAUGGCGACAUCCAACUCGGCCGGUACAAGCAGGCUUAGGGGCAGUGCACCCCUCAGGGAGAUAUCUUCUCCUCCUGAUGCAGAAUCCAUGUGAGCUAUCGAUUUGCAUGACAGAUGGUGAUGUAGCUCUCCGUUCAGAAGUGGCAGAGCAACACUUUCCUCUGUGUGGCAUUGACAGUAAAGUGACCAUGACAACCGAGUCAGAGUCCACAACCUCGGUGGUCACUGGCCUCAUGGAAAGGCCUGUGGGACACGUUCUCCUGGUUCCCAGAUACCUCGUACUGAAUCACCGCAGCCGGUCUCCUCGGCUAGACGCCGCUUGUUGACGGACGAAAUGCAGCUAAGGGAAGUCGGCAAACUGGCCAUGUACCCUUGGAAGAUGUGGUGGCUCCAAAGGCCAAGGUACAGGGACCAGCGUCUCGGCAGCGUUCCUAACCGGAGAUGGCGGAGUGGCUGACCAUGUUGAGGCUUGCUGAAGCAUUGGAAGGCAUGUCACUGCUGUUCUCAGGGGAUGCUGGGGGCGUCUGGGGUUCUCCCCAGCGUCCAACCCUGUGCCAACGAAGUGGCUCAUGUGGAACUGUUGCUGUGCAGGGGAAUCUGACUGUUUAAUUGAAACACAGCUUUGUGAAGGGAUCAGCUGGCUGGUCCCAUGAGGUGACUUCUGCCCAGUGCUCUGAUUGUCAAUGCGAAGAGAUUCAGCCAAGCGCGGGUAAACGGCGGGAGUAACUAUGACUCUCUUAAGGUAGCCAAAUGCCUCGUCAACCAAUUAUUGACGCGCAUGAAUGGAUCAACGAGAUUCCUGCUGUCCCUAGUUGCUGUCUGGUGAACCAACAGCCAAGGGAACGGGCUUGGAUGUGUCAGCGGGGAAAGAAGAGCCUG